rnacentral:rRNA from 1 species
UACGGAGGGGGCUAGCGUUGUUCGGAAUUACUGGGCGUAAAGCGCGUGUAGGCGGCUAUGCAAGUCGGAUGUGAAAGCCCUCGGCUCAACCGGGGAAGUGCACCCGAAACUGCAAAGCUAGAGUCUCGGAGAGGAUCGUGGAAUUCUCGGUGUAGAGGUGAAAUUCGUAGAUAUCGAGAGGAACACCGGUGGCGAAGGCGGCUCUCUGGAACAAUCCUGACGCCUGAGGUGCGAAAGCUAGGGAGCAAACGGG